CUACUCUUGACAUCCAGAGAAUUUAGCAGAGAUGCUUUGGUGCCUUCGGGAACUCUGAGACAGGUGCUGCAUGGCUGUCGUCAGCUCGUGUUGUGAAAUGUUGGGUUAAGUCCCGCAACAAGCGCAACCCUUAUCCUUUGUUGCCAGCGGUUCGGCCGGGAACUCAAAGGAGACUGCCAGUGAUAAACUGGAGGAAGGUGGGAAUGACGUCAAGUCAUCAUGGCCCUUACGAGUAGGGCUACACACGUGCUACAAUGGCAUAUACAAAGAGAAGCGACCUCGCGAGAGCAAGCGGACCUCAUAAAGUAUGUCGUAGUCCGGAUUGGAGUCUGCGACUCGACUCCAUGAAGUCGGAAUCGCUAGUAAUCGUAGAUCAGAAUGCUACGGUGAAUACGUUCCC
rnacentral:rRNA from 1 species